GACGAACGCUGGCGGCGUGCUUAACACAUGCAAGUCGAACGGAAAGGCCCUGCUUUUGUGGGGUGCUCGAGUGGCGAACGGGUGAGUAACACGUGAGUAACCUGCCCCUGACUUUGGGAUAACUUCAGGAAACUGGGGCUAAUACCGGAUAGGAGCUCCUGCUGCAUGGUGGGGGUUGGAAAGUUUCGGCGGUUGGGGAUGGACUCGCGGCUUAUCAGCUUGUUGGUGGGGUAGUGGCUUACCAAGGCUUCGACGGGUAGCCGGCCUGAGAGGGUGACCGGGCACAUUGGGACUGAGAUACGGCCCAGACUCCUACGGGAGGCAGCAGUGGGGAAUAUUGCACAAUGGGCGGGAGCCUGAUGCAGCAACGCCGCGUGCGGGAUGACGGCCUUCGGGUUGUAAACCGCUUUCGCCUGUGACGAAGCGUGAGUGACGGUAAUGAGUAAAGAAGCACCGGCUAACUACGUG
rnacentral:rRNA from 1 species